GGGAAUUAUAUCCCUGUAUGCUAUGCAAUUAUUUAAAAAUACUCCUUUUAUAUUAAUUAUAAAUUUGGAUGCCAAGGAACACUCUGAGUUUAUGGCACCCUACAACUAGGCAUACUUCUGCCUAGGUGAAAUAGAAAGAUCCACAUAUUGGCAUGAACAUGUCCAGGUAUUUUUAUGUGGAAGAGGCAAUCUUUGUGUUUUUUUCUACAGGAUGCUACAGAAGUGUGCCAGCUGCCUGCGUGUCUGGUGAGACAUGCUGAUCCUGGGAGCAUGAAGAUUCAGCUCUCCUGGUUCGGGACCGUGGAGUCAUUCCUGUGCCCUUGAAAGAAGAUGGAGACUUUUUAGGAUUUACCCUCACCGAGCACAGGAAGAUAACAUUCAAGGGAUGCCUCAGCUUGAGCAGAUACCAGUUAUCUCCUGAGUCAACACCCGGUGUCUCCACCGCAUGACCUCAUCGUCUACCGCCUGACCUCUUUGCCUCCUGCUAUCACUGACUAUAUCCUCAUCCCUCCAUCCUUUGUGUUUCACAAAGGACACUCCCCCUACCUGAAAGCCUUAAAAGCUGGAACGUUCACCCCAAUAAAUGAGACCUUGACAAUAGAA